rnacentral:rRNA from 1 species
CCUACGGGGGGCAGCAGUCGAGAAUCAUUCACAAUGGGGGAAACCCUGAUGGUGCGACGCCGCGUGGGGGAAUGAAGGUCUUCGGAUUGUAAACCCCUGUCAUGUGGGAGCAAAUUAAAAAGAUAGUACCACAAGAGGAAGAGACGGCUAACUCUGUGCCAGCAGCCGCGGUAAUACAGAGGUCUCAAGCGUUGUUCGGAAUCACUGGGCGUAAAGCGUGCGUAGGCUGUUUCGUAAGUCGUGUGUGAAAGGCGCGGGCUCAACCCGCGGACGGCACAUGAUACUGCGAGACUAGAGUAGUGGAGGGGGAACCGGAAUGCUCGGUGUAGCAGUGAAAUGCGUAGAUAUCGAGAGGAACACUCGUGGCGAAGGCGGGUUCCUGGACAUUAACUGACGCUGAGGCACGAAGGCCAGGGGAGCGAAAGGGAUUAGAUACCCCAGUAGUC